CGGAGGUGCUGCAGAGGCGAAAUGGACCGGAGGUGCUGCAGAGGCGAGAUGGACCAGAGGUGCAAUGGACCAGAGAUGCUGCAGAGCCAGGAAACUGAGGCCUCGAAAGGAGAAGGGACCUGUCACACAUAAUGAGUGCACUGAAGUACUGGGUGGGUGCCAGGGGAAAGGAGCUGAGCGCUGCUGCCAGGCCACCUAGAAGCCAUGAGUAGAAACUUCAGGAAGGCAGAUCGUGCCUUGAUGUAAGACCUUCCCAAGGAUCCCAGCUGUUUAGGACUGGAAGGGACUGCUUUGGAAGGUGUAGACAAUGAGCUCCUUGUCACUGGAGGCAUUCAAGAAGGCGGGAGGUACCCUCUCUUCACGGAGACUUUGGAGGGCAUGAUUGCACUGGGAGAGAGGCUGCAGAGAUCCCGCCCGGCUCUGGCAUUCCAGGCUUGUGAGACCACAUUCGCCCUGCCCCGCUCCCCCCCCCCCCCAACAGACGCGUGUCCUGUCCUCUGCGGACGAAGCCUCUUUUCACCUGGGGAGGCUCUGCUGACUGGGAGGGAGGAAGAAGCUGCUUUCCUUGUCUCUCUGUCUCCCCCUCGUGUCCAGUACAGGAAUGAACAGGAGAAAGAUUGAGCUGA